ACUCCUACGGGAGGCAGCAGUGGGGAAUUUUGGACAAUGGGCGAAAGCCUGAUCCAGCAAUGCCGCGUGAGUGAAGAAGGCCUUCGGGUUGUAAAGCUCUUUUGUCAGGGAAGAAACGGUGAAAGCUAAUAUCUUUUGCUAAUGACGGUACCUGAAGAAUAAGCACCGGCUAACUACGUGCCAGCAGCCGCGGUAAUACGUAGGGUGCAAGCGUUAAUCGGAAUUACUGGGCGUAAAGCGUGCGCAGGCGGUUUUGUAAGUCUGAUGUGAAAUCCCCGGGCUCAACCUGGGAAUUGCAUUGGAGACUGCAAGGCUAGAAUCUGGCAGAGGGGGGUAGAAUUCCACGUGUAGCAGUGAAAUGCGUAGAUAUGUGGAGGAACACCGAUGGCGAAGGCAGCCCCCUGGGUCAAGAUUGACGCUCAUGCACGAAAGCGUGGGGAGCAAACAGGAUUAGAAACCCCGGUAGUCC
rnacentral:rRNA from 1 species